UGGGUGUUCAGUUUAGUCUUCUAUUUCACCAAUGUCAACCAUGGUUCCCUAAGUUAAAAAAAAUAUUUCAAAUAAGUCCCACCCAUUAACAGCGUAAGAGCGACGUUAAAUGUUGGCAUGAUGUGGCAAAGAAGUUAUUAAACAUAGCAAAAGGAUGUUUUAUAGUAAGACACUUUUUCGCUCUUCUCUCUCAUGUCUCUAAUCUCGCUCUUCUUUCACCUCUUCACCAGAACAGAGAAAACAAAAUUUGUCUUCUCUGCCAUCAAAUUUCAGGAAUGAUAAGGUUGUCGUGUCAUUUCCCCUCAUCUCUACCAAAAUCCCCUCAUUUCUCACUCACAUUUCCUGAGACUGAGAGUCUCCUUCGAAGAAAACGAAAACCCUUGAGCUUUGUUUCAUCCACGAGGACACGCCACCACUCUCAGUCAGAUCAACCACCGCUGACUCUCUACCCAAUCUACAACGUCGCCCACGACACCAAGC
rnacentral:lncRNA from 1 species